GAUGAACGCUGGCGGCGUGCUUAACACAUGCAAGUCGAACGGUCAAGUCGGAGCUUGCUCUGCUGGAUCAGUGGCGAACGGGUGAGUAACACGUGAGCAAUCUGCCCCUGACUCUGUGAUAAGCGCUGGAAACGGCGUCUAAUACUGGAUACGAGCUGCGAAGGCAUCUUCAGCAGCUGUAAAGAAUUUCGGUCAGGGAUGAGCUCGCGGCCUAUCAGCUUGUUGAUGAGGUAAUGGCUCACCAAGGCGUCGACGGGUAGCCGGCCUGAGAGGGUGACCGGCCACAAUGGGACUGAGGAACGGCGCAGAAUCCUACGGGAGGCAGCAGUGGGGAAUAUUGCACAAUGGGCGAAAGCCUGAUGCAGCAACGCCGCGUGAGGGACGACGGCCUUCGGGUUGUAAACCUCUUUUAGCAGGGAAGAAGAGAAAGUGACGGUACCUGCAGAAAAAGCGCCGGCUAACUACGUG
rnacentral:rRNA from 1 species